AAAGAAUCUGUAAUGGUUCUGUUGCAGAUGUGAUCUACCGUCGUACUCCUUGCUCUUUUGGUAUAACUAUACCAAUCAAAACGUUAAAUGGCUCCAUAGAAUCAAACGACAAAGCAUUCUUGCUAUAUUCUGGACUUCCAGGAAUGUGGUGCAUGGACAGAAAAAUUAUAACUACUAAAGCAAUCAUGCUAUUUUUUUCCCUGUAUCAGAAAUGUGUCAGUGAC